rnacentral:rRNA from 1 species
AUUGAACGCUAGCGGGAUGCCUUACACAUGCAAGUCGAACGGAGUGGCGAACGGGUGAGUAAUGUAUAGGAACGUGCCCAGUAGUGGGGGAUAACUUCGCGAAAGCGGAGCUAAUACCGCAUACUAUCAGAGCGGCCUCGGUCGGAUUAGCUAGUUGGUAGGGUAACGGCUUACCAAGGCGACGAUCCGUAACUGGUGUGAGAGGACGACCAGCCACACUGGAACUGAGACACGGCCCAGACUCCUACGGGAGGCAGCAGGGGGGAAUUUUGGACAAUGGGGGAAACCCUGAUCCAGCCAUCCCGCGUGUGCGAAGAAGGCCUUCGGGUUGUAAAGCACUUUUGGCAGGAAAGCGGUACCUGCAGAAUAAGCACCGGCUAACUACGUGCCAGCAGCCGCGGUAAUAC